UACGGGGGGAGCAAGCGUUGUUCGGAUUUACUGGGCGUAAAGGGCGCGUAGGCGGCGUGACAAGUCACUUGUGAAAUCUCCGGGCUUAACUCGGAACGGUCAAGUGAUACUGUCGUGCUAGAGUACAGAAGGGGCAACUGGAAUUCUCGGUGUAGCGGUGAAAUGCGUAGAUAUCGUAAGGAAGACCAGUGGCGAAGGCGGGUCUCUGGACAGUUACUGACGCUGAGGCACGAAGGUCAGGGGAGCAAACGGG
rnacentral:rRNA from 1 species